UUAUGUUACAUUUCCUAUAAUGGUGAAAGAUAAUAAUUUAUUUAUGAAUUAUUGCCAAAUGAGUAAAACACAAUUUGAAGAGUUACUUAUACUAAUUGCUCCAAAAAUUCAAAAGAAUCCAGUUUGUCGAGAACUAAUUUCAUCAAAAGAACGUUUGUUGUUAACACUACUGAGUAAAAAACGUUUUAAAAAAUUAUCUUAAUAAGUAUUAAGAAGUGAGAUUAAAAAAAUAAGAGUGAGAUUAAAAAAAUAAGAGUGAUAUGUUUGUUUAUAUUUAGCAUGUGGUGAUUCAAUGAUAGCAAUGAAGUACCAAUAUUAUAUUGCACAAUCAACAAUAUCAAAUAUUAUUGCAGAAACUUGCAAUGUAUUAUGGAAUACUUUAAUGCCAAUUGUAUUGAAAGUACUUACAUAUGAAAACUGGAAACAUAUUGCUGCUAAUUUUGAAAUAAAAUGUAACUUUCCACAUUGUUUGGGUGCUGUGGAUGGUAAAUGUCAUUGUGCAGGCACCACCAAAUUCUGGUUCUACGUACUAUAAUUAUAAAAACUUUCACAGUAUAGUGUUAAUGGCUAUUUGUGAUAGUAACUACAAAUUUAUUUUGGUCGAUAUUGGUGCGGAAGGUCGACAAAGUGACGGAGGUAUCUGAUCGAGAUCUGUUAUGGGUCAAUCAUUUUUAAGAGGUGAUGUAGAUAUACAACUUCCAAAUCGUGUUGCGGAGGGAUCUAUUCUUCCAUAUGUUUUUGUGGCAGAUGAAGCUUUUCAGCUUACAAAGUUUAUGAUGCGGCCAUUCUCUGGAAGAGGAGGUUUAACAAGAGAAAAACAAAUUUAUAAUUAUAGACACAGUAGAAUACGUCGUAUAGUAGAAUGUACUAUUGGAAUUCUCAUUUCCAAAUGAAGAAUUUAUAAACGACGAUUAAUACUUCAAUUGAAACAGCAGAAAAUAUAGUGAAAGCAAUUGUUUUACAUAAUUUAUUUGCAUAAGUAUAGUGAAAACAAUUGUUGCAUAAUUUUCUACGCGAAAAUGAUUGUUCAUUUUGUACCUGUACUACUGAUACAAAUAAAAAUGGAACAGUAUGUUGUGAGAUUACAGCGGCAGCACUCAGAGAUAUAAAUAAUAUUGGUAUAAAUACAAAUAUAUGGGAAGCAUGUAAAAUACGUAAUACUUUUAUGAAUUAUUUUAAUAAUGAAGGUUUAAUUCCAUGGCAAGAAAUUAUGUUGAACUGUUAAUAUUUUUUGCAUAAAAAGUUUUUGCAGUUGGUUAGUAACAACAGUAAUAUAU